CUUUCCGAUUGAUCUGGAACCCAUAACUCAUGUCAGGGCUCUGCCCGACUAAGUUCGUUGGGAUUCUGUCUCGGGACAUUGGGAUAAAGUUGAAUUAGGGGUACUAUACUUACCACGAGUGCAUUAUAUAUUUUAAAUAGCUCAGAAGUUAUACCCAAUAUUCUACCAGGAGACUUUCUAGUUGAACCCGUAAGUGAAAACCCGGACCCCUGAAACCCCAAUCCAUAUCAAGAAUCAAGAAUAUCAGAUAUUUGGUCUUCUCGCGGGCAGCGUAAAGAAUAGGCAGGAGGUCACGCGGGCCGCGUCAACUUGAGAAUUGACCGGAUAAGCAUCCGGGGCUACGUGUCAUCCACGUGGCACACCCACUGAUGAUCCAGCAACCCUACGCGUAGACUAGGCGGCUACGCGGGCCGCGUAAGGAUCGGCUAGAGGUUCACGCGGGCCACGUGAGACCCAAUUUCCAGCUAUAAAUAGAGCGGGUCAUGAGCAGUUCGUCUGUGCACGGGAAAUCAAUCAAAAACGAAAGUAUACUGUUAGAAAUCAUAUUUUUCAUUAGGGAGGUGCUGCUACGAUACCGGGUUACAAGACUAAUCAAUAGGCUAAGCUCUGCCUGCAAUAUCAAGGCUAACCAAUAGGCUAAACUCUGCCGUAUCAAUCUGCAUGCUUAUAAUGUAAUUACAGUAGAUCGGGAUAAGAGUUGGAUACGACACCAAAAGGCUUACAGAAGUGGCUUGAUUUAUCAAUUAAAUUAAAUUAAGAAAAGUCGUUUUAUGUAAUCAAGUUUAUAUUAAAAGCCUUGUAAAACAUGGGUUUUAUCCCAUCUAUAUAAUAAAUAAAAA